GGGGGGAUAGCUCAGUGGUAGAGCACAUGCUUAGCAUGCACAAGGUCCUGGGUUCAAUUCCCAGCACCCA
rnacentral:tRNA from 1 species